UACGAAGGGGGCUAGCGUUGCUCGGAAUCACUGGGCGUAAAGCGCACGUAGGCGGCUUUCUAAGUCAGGGGUGAAAUCCUGGAGCUCAACUCCAGAACUGCCUUUGAUACUGGAGAGCUUGAGUCCGGGAGAGGUGAGUGGAACUCCGAGUGUAGAGGUGAAAUUCGUAGAUAUUCGGAAGAACACCAGUGGCGAAGGCGGCUCACUGGCCCGGUACUGACGCUGAGGCGCGAAAGCGUGGGGGAGCGAACAGG
rnacentral:rRNA from 1 species